rnacentral:rRNA from 1 species
UACGGAAGGUGCGAGCGUUAAUCGGAAUUACUGGGCGUAAAGCGCACGUAGGUGGUUUUAUAAGUCGGAUGUGAAAGCCCCGGGCUUAACCUGGGAAUUGCAUCUGAUACUGUAUGACUAGAGUAUGCUAGAGGGAAGUGGAAUUCCAGGUGUAGCGGUGAAAUGCGUAGAUAUCUGGAGGAACACCAAUGGCGAAGGCAACUUCCUGGGGCAAUACUGACACUGAUGUGCGAAAGCGUGGGGAGCAAACAGG